rfam:Clostridium sp. CAG:356 genomic scaffold, scf118
GGUAUAAUAAAUAUCGAUGGUGCAUUAUUCUAGUCGUACUAUUUAUUAUGAGGGUGGGGCUAAAAAUCCACUAAAGGGCAUACCGAUGAAGCAUCUUGUUUGUGCGCGAAAUGCCAGUUUUGUGUGUGAGUAGGAUGAAAGAAACCAGGGUAUGGUAUAAUGGCAUAUACAGGACUCCCUUGUUUCGCUGAGACUUAAAAAAUAUCUUUUGAGUGUAACCUAUGGUGAGUGCCAAGACACAAAAUACAUAGAGUAGCCUGUCUUGAGUGAGGGUAUUGGGAUUAUAAUAACAUAUGAAAUUACACUUGCAAAAAAGACUAGUAAUAAACAAUAGUAUGUUAAGGAAAACUUCUAGAAUGUUUGCUUAAAAAAGCAUAGGAAUCUGAGGAUUAAGGUACGGACUUAAGUGGCGAUCUAGUGCCUAAUGAAAUAUGUAGGUGUUCUUUUAAAUGGAAACAGCUAUGUAGUAAUGCAUAGUAAAGAAUAGAGAAAUUCAACUAGACCUAAACCGUAAAAUUUACUCUGGUUUUACCAUCUUGAAUAUGAUAAUA